rnacentral:rRNA from 1 species
GGAGGGCAAGUCUGGUGCCAGCAGCCGCGGUAAUUCCAGCUCCAAUAGCGUAUAUUAAAGUUGUUGCAGUUAAAAAGCUCGUAGUUGAAUUUCGGGGUUAGUAGGUCGGUCAUGCCUCUGGUAUGUACUGGUCUCACUGAUUCCUCCUUCCUGAUGAACCUUAAUGCCAUUAAUUUGGUGUUUUGGGGAAUUUGGACUGUUACUUUGAAAAAAUUAGAGUGUUUAAAGCAAGCUAACGCUUGAAUACAUUAGCAUGGAAUAAUGAAAUAGGACGUUCGAUCCUAUUUUGUUGGUUUCUAGGAUUGACGUAAUGAUUAAUAGGGAUAGUUGGGGGCAUUAGUAUUCAAUUGUCAGAGGUGAAAUUCUUGGAUUUAUUGAAGACUAACUACUGCGAAAGCAUUUGCCAAGGAUGUUUUCAUUAAUCAAGAACGAAAGUUAGGGGAUCGAAGACGAUCAGAUACCGUCGUAGUCUUAACCAUAAACUAUGCCGACUAGGGAUCGGACGAUGUUAUUUUUUGACUCGUUCGGCGCCUUACGGGAAAC